GAUGAACGCUAGCGGCGGGCUUAACACAUGCAAGUCGAGGGGUAUUGGUUUUCGGACCAAGAGACCGGCGCACGGGUGCGUAACGCGUAUGCAAUCUACCUUUUGCAGAGGGAUAGCCCCAGAGAAAUUUGGAUUAAUACCUCAUAGUAUAGUACUUUGGCAUCAAGGAACUAUUAAAGUCACAACGGCAAAAGAUGAGCAUGCGUCCCAUUAGCUAGUUGGUAAGGUAACGGCUUACCAAGGCUACGAUGGGUAGGGGUCCUGAGAGGGAGAUCCCCCACACUGGUACUGAGACACGGACCAGACUCCUACGGGAGGCAGCAGUGAGGAAUAUUGGUCAAUGGGCGCAAGCCUGAACCAGCCAUGCCGCGUGCAGGAAGACGGUCCUAUGGAUUGUAAACUGCUUUAUACAGGAAGAAACCCUCCCACGUGUGGGAGCUUGACGGUACUGUAGGAAUAAGGAUCGGCUAAACCUUCCGUCGGCCAGCAGCCGCGGUAA
rnacentral:rRNA from 1 species